AAGCGUCUGGAAAGGCGUGCGAUACAGGGUGACAGCCCCGUACACAAAAAUGCACAUAUUGUGAGCUCGAUGAGUAGGGCGGGACACGUGGUAUCCUGUCUGAAUAUGGGGGGACCAUCCUCCAAGGCUAAAUACUCCUGACUGACCGAUAGUGAACCAGUACCGUGAGGGAAAGGCGAAAAGAACCCCGGCGAGGGGAGUGAAAAAGAACCUGAAACCGUGUACGUACAAGCAGUGGGAGCCUCUUAAUGGGGUGACUGCGUACCUUUUGUAUAAUGGGUCAGCGACUUAUAUUCUGUAGCAAGGUUAACCGAAUAGGGGAGCCGAAGGGAAACCGAGUCUUAACUGGGCGUUAAGUUGCAGGGUAUAGACCCGAAACCCGGUGAUCUAGCCAUGGGCAGGUUGAAGGUUGGGUAACACUAACUGGAGGACCGAACCGACUAAUGUUGAAAAAUUAGCGGAUGACUUGUGGCUGGGGGUGAAAGGCCAAUCAAACCGGGAGAUAGCUGGUUCUCCCCGAAAGCUAUUUAGGUAGCGCCUCGUGAAUUCAUCUCCGGGGGUAGAGCACUGUUUCGGCAAGGGGGUCAUCCCGACUUACCAACCCGAUGCAAACUGCGAAUACCGGAGAAUGUUAUCACGGGAGACACACGGCGGGUGCUAACGUCCGUCGUGAAGAGGGAAACAACCCAGACCGCCAGCUAAGGUCCCAAAGUCAUGGUUAAGUGGGAAACGAUGUGGGAAGGCCCAGACAGCCAGGAUGUUGGCUUAGAAGCAGCCAUCAUUUAAAGAAAGCGUAAUAGCUCACUGGUCGAGUCGGCCUGCGCGGAAGAUGUAACGGGGCUAAACCAUGCACCGAAGCUGCGGCAGCGACACUAUGUGUUGUUGGGUAGGGGAGCGUUCUGUAAGCCUGUGAAGGUGGCCUGUGAGGGUUGCUGGAGGUAUCAGAAGUGCGAAUGCUGACAUAAGUAACGAUAAAGCGGGUGAAAAGCCCGCUCGCCGGAAGACCAAGGGUUCCUGUCCAACGUUAAUCGGGGCAGGGUGAGUCGACCCCUAAGGCGAGGCCGAAAGGCGUAGUCGAUGGGAAACAGGUUAAUAUUCCUGUACUUGGUGUUACUGCGAAGGGGGGACGGAGAAGGCUAUGUUGGCCGGGCGACGGUUGUCCCGGUUUAAGCGUGUAGGCUGGUUUUCCAGGCAAAUCCGGAAAACC
rnacentral:rRNA from 1 species